AGGCCGCUUCCUGAAAACAACCUGACUCAGUCUCGGGGGCACCCAGCACAGAAAGCAGGGAAACAGAGAGAGACGGGGGAGCCUAUAGCCCCCUGGCUGAAUCCUUCCAUCCGAGUCUCAUGGAAGGUCCCUGCCUCAGGGCAUACUCAGUUCAACCCAGUGGAAGUUAAUCCUAUCAGGAGCCCUCGGAGCUCCGGGAAGCCAUGCCCCCCCCUCCUCCCCCCUCAGAGUGCAGGGUCUUCUGGCCAGCAAAGGCAUAGAAACACCUCGCAGAGAGUACCAAGCCAGCCUCAGAGUGUGGAAGUAAGGCAACGGAGAAGCAUCAGGAGGGAACUGAGGAGGGCAGUAACACCAAAACACCAGCAAUUCCUGGCUUCCCCGGGAAGACAGAACAACAACUGCAUAGAACGGACAAUUUGCCUAGGGCUAAAGCCUCUGAAAACCAGACAGAUAAGAAAAGCUAGACCUCCCCACUCAGAUAGAGAUGGCAAACAGCACAGAAGCACAAAAGCCUCAAAACUCCAAGAAAAACAAGAAGAAGGGGGAGACUUUGGACACAUUUUAUGGAGCAAAAAUACAAAAUACAGAGGAGAUAGAAGAGGAAACACAAGCAAAUGCUCCAAAACCUCCCAAAAGGAAAUGGAAACUCUACAAUCCCAUGAAGAAUUUGAAUCGGAAAUGAUCAAAAAGAUGGAAGCCUUCUGGGAGGAAAAGUGGGAAAUAAUGCAAAAGAAAUUCACCCAUCUACAAAACCGGUUUGACCAAACUGAAAAGGAAAACCAGGCUUUAAAGGUCAGAAUUAGACAACUAAAAGAAGAGCAAGAAUUAAUAAAGCAAAGCCAAAAGACCAAGAAAUUAGAAGAGAACAUAAAAUAUCUCACCAAAAAGGUCAUAGACUUGGAAAAUAGAAGAAGAGACAAUUUAAGAAUAAUUGGACUACCAGAAAAGCCAGAAAUAAACAGCCAACUCGACAUCGUAAUACAAGAUAUAAUCAAAGAAAAUUGCCCAGAGAUCCUAGAACAAGAGGGCAAUACAGACACUGAAAGAUUUCACAGAACACCCUCUACACUAAAUCCCCAAAAGACAACUCCCAGGAAUGUAAUUGCCAAAUUCCAAAGCUUUCAAGCAAGAAGAAAGACAAUUUAG
rnacentral:lncRNA from 1 species